rnacentral:rRNA from 1 species
GAUGAACGCUAGCGAUAGGCUUAACACAUGCCAGUCGAGGGGCAGCACAAGGUAGCUUGCUAUCUGGGUGGCGACCGGCGCACGGGUGCGUAACGCGUAUGCAACUUGCCCUAUACAGGAGGAUAACCCGUCGAAAGACGGACUAAUACUGCGUAUGCUCACAACUUGGCAUCAAGUGGUGAGGAAAGAAAUUCGGUAUAGGAUAGGCAUGCGUCCCAUUAGCUUGUUGGUGAGGUAACGGCUCACCAAGGCAGCGAUGGGUAGGGGAACUGAGAGGUUUAUCCCCCACACUGGUACUGAGACACGGACCAGACUCCUACGGGAGGCAGCAGUGAGGAAUAUUGGCCAAUGGGCGCGAGCCUGAACCAGCCAAGUCGCGUGAAGGAGGACUGUCUUAUGGAUUGUAAACUUCUUUUAUACGGGAAUAACAAGAGUCACGUGUGACUCCCUGCAUGUACCGUAUGAAUAAGCAUCGGCUAACUCCGUG